AGAAAUGUGGGAGUAGUCAUGGACUCAGACCUGAAUUUUAGCAGUUAUAUUUAGACAGUUGUGAAGUAAGUCUAUUAACACUUCAAGAAUAUAUUAAG